rnacentral:rRNA from 1 species
UACGUAGGGGGCAAGCGUUGUCCGGAUUUAUUGGGCGUAAAGAGCGUGUAGGCGGCCAGGUAGGUCCGUUGUGAAAACUGGAGGCUUAACCUCCAGCGGUCGAUGGAAACCAUCUGGCUAGAGUCCGGAAGAGGAGAGUGGAAUUCCUGGUGUAGCGGUGAAAUGCGCAGAUAUCAGGAAGAACACCCGUGGCGAAGGCGGCUCGCUGGGACGGUACUGACGCUGAGGUGCGAAAGCGUGGGGAGCGAACAGG